GAUGAACGCUGGCGGCGUGCCUAAUACAUGCAAGUCGAGCGAACAGACGAGGCUCUUGCUCCUCUGACGUUAGCAGCGGACGGGUGAGUAACACGUGGAUAACCUACCUAUAAGACUGGGAUAACUUCGGGAAACCGGAGCUAAUACCGGAUCAUUUCUUUAACCGCAUGGUUCAAUAGUGAAAUACGGUUUUGCGGUCACUUAUAGAUGGAUCUGCUCCACAUUAGCUAGUUGGUAAGGUAACGGCUUACCAAGGCAACGAUGCGUAACCGGCCUCGGAGGGUGAUCGGCCACACAGGAAGUGAGACACGGUCCAGACUCCUACGGGAGGCAGAAGCAGGGAAGCUUCAGCAAUGGGCGAAAGUCUGACGGAGCAACGCCGCGGGAGUGAUGAAGGUCUGCGGAGCGUAAAACUCUGCUAGUAGGGAAGAACAAAUGUGUAAGUAACUAUGCACGUCUUGACGGUACCUAAUCAGAAAGCAACGGCUAACUACGUG
rnacentral:rRNA from 1 species